rnacentral:lncRNA from 1 species
UAAACUCAAUUAAAUAAUUAAAUAAAACAAAUAAUUCAAAGAGGGUGUUACACAAUCUCUCCAGGAGCAUCCUUCUUCUUAGGUCGUCUAUCUUCGACCAUCCUCUGUUUGCACUUAUCAGCAGGGGCACUGUAAGGCUUAGGGCGACUCUGCUGACCCUUAGUCUUCCGCUCAUUCACAAUCUUGUAAUGAGCCUUAGUAUCCUCCUCGUAGAUCCUGCAACUGCUCACCAGCUCAGAGAAAACUCGAAUCUUCUGGUAAUCAAUUGCCCUCUUAAUCUCAUCAUGCAAACCGUUCUCAAAUUUGAUACACUUUGAAAACUCAGGAGUCUCUGGAGUGUAGUGUGGAUAUAACUUUGCCAAUUCCACAAACUUGGCAGCA